UGAUAAUAUAGUAUCACAGUAACCUAAGGGCAGGUGAAAUAUCUCUGUUGAGGGGAGAUAUAUCUUAAAACAGUGGUCCUAAACAAGCCACUCCACCCUUUGAGGUCAGUCAGUUUUUACUAUUUGAUAUGGUUUGAAGCUGGCUCCCUGCCAAGUCUCCAAACCUUACCACAAGAAGUUCACACACCCCCCCCAAAAACCUCAGGGAGAAGAGGGAAAAAACAACCAAGAAAACCAAAACGAGAGAGAGACAGCUAAAGCAAUAUAUAUAAAUAUAUUUACACUUAUAUUACAGUUAUAUACAAUUGAAAUAUAUACAAUUUCACAAGGGAAAGGGAAGGGGGAAGGGAAAAGGAACAAAACCAAAAUAAAAUAUAUAUAUAUCCCAAUCAGCAGCCCGAGAUCUAGCAACUAAAAGAAAUUAGCAAAAGACUAUCUUACUACUCUCCUUGGGACAACGGAGAGUCGCGCUGGAACGAUCGCCGGCAACCUCCGCCUCCCAAGGUCGACAAGGCCCUACCAGGCCUCACUCCCCAACACGACAGACUCAACAGCAGGGAACCUGCACCUCCAAGCUGCCGGAAGGAAAGAGAGCGAAGGCCUUUCCUCCUUUCUUCUUAUAGCCUGGCUUACGUAAAAAUCGUAGGGAAUACUGGGUAAAUCUGGGCACUUCCUUGGUUACAAACUGGUCACCAAGGAAGGCCUAGACCAAACUACCACACUAUUGCACCCCUCUGGCCAACGUUUCUUCUCACUCUUCACUUAGCAUGUAAUGUGUGGAUGCUCUCUCACCUGCAUCCUACACACUAGUCAUAGAGGUCUGUAAACUUCAUCCCUUCCUGCUCUUCUGCCUGUACCCAGGUGCAUCAACCAAAAGCUUAACUACAAGCAUUUCCUCACUAAAAAGCAGUGCUUUCAGAUGUUCAGUUCACAUGGUGAUGCUUGGACCUGCCUCUGAGGAUCUGAUGUGAGACAAGAGACAGAGGAGACCCAGCAGUGUCCUCCCAAGAUCUGGGGUCAGGAGAUGGAAAAAUGCUGUGCCCUGUGCCCCAGCAUUGCCUUUGGAAGAAGUGACAAGCAUUGUAAAACACCUGCUAACAGAAAUGUAAGCUCCAUAGACAGAGAAAGGAACCUUGCCAUGUAACCCUGUGCUAAACCGCAAAACCUCUACAGCUCUUCUACCAAGUCAGCAUGAAAGAAGCUCAGGAGCCUGAAAUUACCUUCUGGGGAAUCUCUAAGGGUCAUAUUCUUUUACUUGUAAGGAACCAGUCUACCCAAGACCAAGAGCUAUUAGGAUGGCUACCCAGGCUCUGAGAUCUACCUCUGCUCCAGAAAUUAAAAUUUCUCUUCAAAUAACAGGA